AGGAGGAAGAGGUUCGUCGGGAGAUCCAGUGGGCAUUUGAAUGAGGUGCUUAUGGGGUGGUUUAAGGUCGCAAGGCUGGAAUAUUUUGAUGGACUAUGUUGGUUGUAAAUGAACUUUGUCUGUUUAAACCGCAGAUGAAUUAGACUUUUAAACCAACCUUGGUUUCGAUUCCUGCUUUGAACUUGUGGGCGCAUUUAAAUGUGAAUAGUACUUGGACUCUGUUGGGGGAGGAUUGGUAGUGAAUGGGAUUCCCUCAGUAGAUUCUUGACUGGUUAUCAACGUGGUCUGUUUUAGCAGUCUACAUUUUAAAUCUGGUCUUUUCCCUUAGUCUUUGUAAGUCAUACAUCUAUUGAAUUGGAUAUGGUGUCCUUGCUGGCGAUACCAUAAUCUGCAGGAAUUCACUGACAUACUGUGAUAUGUCUUUGAAAAGUCCCGCAGAAUAUGUUACUUACCAGAAGGGCUGAAUCUUGCACAUGGUUUGCUGGUUACGUUCUUCUUUUUUCAUGGCGUCGGCAUUGUUUUUAGUUUAGUCAAGCAUAAAUGCCAAU
rnacentral:misc_RNA from 1 species